GGGGCAACGCACGUUGUGGUUCAAUAUAUUUGUUAAAAGUUUGAUAUUGUGUUGGAAAAAUGUCGUAAAAUCAAGAAGUUUUGUCGGGGAAUUUCAGCAAUUCAUCGGCUGUGGAGCAGUCGUUGCUCAGCAGGGAAGUAGAAUGUUCAUUUCAGUGUAGAAAAUAAAUUAACAGUAUCAAAAAGUUUAGGGAUUUUAUAAUUUGUUUUGUUUUUCAUGUUUGGCUAACGUGAUUUACAUACUUAAGUUUCUUCUUUGUUUAUUCGAUAAAAGCGGACCGCCUUCUACAUUAGGUGUUUGUUGUACUAAUUGUUGUCACUUGUUUGCUAGUAAGCAAAGAAUUAAUUUAUUUUCGGACGAACGAAGUGAGGGAGAAAAUAAUUGCUAUUCUUUUCGUCACAGUUCAAUAAACAUGCGUGUUUACUAAUGCACGGGAUUUUCGUGAGUUUUUGGCAGGUAUAGCGUCAUUCGAGGUCCGCUUACAGGAGACAACGCUCGUUGUGGUUCAAUAUAUUUGUUACAUUAAUUAUUAUACUCAUUUUUAGUUUUACAAUAUUAGAAUUAUUUCAGCGAAGAGGCUGCGUCAAGACGUUAUCAAGAAGGUUUUCUCCAAAAACAGCGACUUCCGGUUGUCCUCGGACCGUGCUACGCUUGCCGCCUCACAAGAAACGUGGUUAGAGACUGCCCAAACGUCCAACGAGGCUUCGUCCAACAACAGCCCAUUUUUAGCAGGUCCAGUUACCUAAGAACUGCAGCACAGACCGCCACUUCAGAUGUCAGAGAAAGCACUAAGUUAUAGAGAUGAGUAUAAUGAUUUUGUAUGUUUGUCCUGUCAUGAAUAUUCAAGUCAUUCUUCUUCUGAAAAACCAGUAAAAGACGGUAUUAGAUAUGCUUUGACUUACAUAAAGUUUGUAUUGUUCUCUCAAAGAAUGAGUAUUAUGUGAAUAAAUGUUUAGAUGUGAUAAGUAUUCAGAAAAGGUCCACAGUGAUCUAUAUUCAGAUUUUCAAAUAUGAUACGCUGUUAUCUCAAAGUGUGACAGGACACUUGGUUAGAGACUGCCCAUACGUCCAACGAGGCUUCGUCCCACAACAGCCCACUUCUAGCAGGUCCAGUUACCCAAGAACUGCAGCACAGACCGCCACUUUAGACGUCAGAGAAAGCACUAAGCUAUAGAGAUGAGUAUAAUAAUUUGUAUGUUUGCGCUGUUAUGAAUAGUCAAGUCAUUUUUCUUCUGAAAAAAAAACAACAGUAAAAGACGGUAUAAGAUAUGCUGUGAUUUGCAUUAACCUUGUAUUGUUGUCUCGAAAAAUGGGAUUUAUGUGUAUCAAUGUUUGGAUGUGAUGUGUAUUUAGAAAAGAUCCACCGUGAUCUGUAUUCAGAUGUUCAGAUAUGAUACGCUGUUAUCUCAAAGUGUGAGAUUUAUGUGUAUCAUUGUUUGGAUGUGAAGCGUUUUCAGAAAAGAUCUACGGUGAUCUGUAUUUAAAUAUUCAGAUACGACACGCUGUUGUCUGAAAGUGUGAGAUUUAUGUGUAUCAUUAUAUAUAUGUGAAGUUGUGAAGUGUUUUCAGAAAAGAUCCACGGUGAUCUGUAUUCAGAUGUUCAAAUAUGAUACGCAGUUGUCUCAGAGUGUGAGAUUUGUUUGUAUCAAUGUAUAGAUGUGAUUUGUAUUUAUUAAGGAUUCCCAUUGAUUUGUUUGUGCAAAUAAGUUUUUAAUGAGCAUGUCUUGAUGUGAACCCAUUUAUACAUUAACAUGUAACGGAGUCAAUAUAUAGUUAUUUAAAACAAAACAAACAACUCAUAAGAAUAUAAUGAAUUUGAAGAUAUAACGAUUAGUUUUGUUUGUUUAAUCAGACAAUACUAUGAUAUGUUCUCGCUUCAUAUUUAUGUAUUAUGAAACGAUGAUUUUAUGAAAGGCGUUAUAUAUUGUAAUUAUUAUACUCAUUUUUAGUUUUAUAAUAUUAGUAUUAUUUCAGCAGAGAGGCUUUGUUAAGACGUUAUCAAUAAGGUUUUCUCCAACAACAGCGACUUUCGGUCGUCCUCGGACCGUGCUUCGCUUGCCGCUUAACAGGACACUUGGUUAGAGACUGCCCAUACGUCCAACGAGGCUUCGUCCCACAACAGCCCACUUCUAGCAGGUCCAGUUACCCAAGAACUGCAGCACAGACCGCCACUUUAGACGUCAGAGAAAGCACUAAGCUAUAGAGAUGAGUAUAAUGAAACGAUCCACGGUUAUCUGUUGUCGGAGAAAAGAUCCACGGUGAUCUAUAGACUAUAUUCAGAUGUUCAAGUCUGAUGCGCUGUUGUCUCAGAGUAUGAGAUUUAUGUGUAUCAAUGUAUUUAAUGUUAUGUGUAUUCAAGAAAGAUCCCCGGUGAUCUGUUGUCGGAGAAAAGAUCCACGGUGAUCUGUUGUCAGAGAAAAGAUCCACGGUGAUCUGUUAUCGGAUGUUCAAAUAUGAUACGCUGUUGUCUCAAAGUGCGAGAUUUAUGUGUAUCAAUGUAUAGAUGUGAUGUGUAUUCAGAAAAGAUCCACGGUGAUCUGUUGUCAGAGAAAAGAUCCACGGUGAUCUGUUGUCAGAGAAAAGAUCCACGGUGAUCUGUUGUCAGAGAAAAGAUCCACGGUGAUCUGUUAUCGGAUGUUCAAAUAUGUUACACUGUUGUCUCAGAGUAUGAGAUUUAUGCGUAUCAAUGUAUAGAUGUGAUGUCUAUUUAGAAAAGAUCCACGAUGAUCUGUAUUCUAAUGUUCAAAUAUGAUACGCUGUUGUCUCUGAGUGUGAGAUUUAUGUGUAUCAAUUUAUAGAUGUUAUGUGUAUUCAGACAAGAUCCACGGUGAUCUGUAUUCAGAUGUUCAGAUAUGAUACGCUGUUGUCUCAAAGUAUGAGAUUUAUGUGUAUCUAUGUAUAGAUGUUAUGUGUAUUCAGAAAAGAUCCACGGUGAUCUGUUGUCGGAGGAAAGAUCCACGGUGAUCUGUUGUCAGAGAAGAGAUCCACGGUUAUCUUUUGUCGGAUGUUCAAAUAUGAUACGCUGUUGUCUCGGAGUAUGAUAUUUAUGUGUAUCAAUGUAUAGAUGUGAUGUGUAUUCAGACAAGAUCCACGGUGAUCUGUAUUCAGAUGUUCAGAUAUGAUACGCUGUUGUCUCAAAGUAUGAGAUUUAUGUGUAUCAAUUUAUAGAUGUUAUGUGUAUUCAGACAAGAUCCACGGUGAUCUGUAUUCAGAUGUUCAGAUAUGAUACGCUGUUGUCUCAAAGUAUGAGAUUUAUGUGUAUCUAUGUAUAGAUGUUAUGUGUAUUCAGAAAAGAUCCACGGUGAUCUGUAUCCAGAUAUUCAGAUCUGAUACGCUUUUGUCUUAGAGCGUGAGAUUUAUGUGUAUCUAUGUAUAGAUGUGAUUUGUAUUUAUUAAGGAUUCACAUUGAUUUGUUUUAAGAUAUGCAAAUAUGUUUUUAAUGAGUAAGACUUGAUGUGAGCCCAUUUAUACAUUUACAUGUAUCGGAGUAAUUAUAUGGUUAUUUAAAACAAAGCAUAAAACUCAUUACAAUAAAAUGAAUUUGAGGAUAUUACGAUUUGUUUUGUUUGUGUAAGCAGUCAAUAAUAUGAUAUGUUCUCGUUUCAUAUGUAUGUAUUAUGAUACGAAGAUUUGAUGAAAGGCGUUAUAUAUACACGUACACAUGUAUAUUGUUUAAGCAUAUAUUGGCAUAGCAGUGUAUGGGACGAUAUUGGUGAAUUGAGUGCACAUCAUAGCUUGGGACACGCGGCUCAGAAGGACAUAGCCAGAGCAGCAAAAUCCAAGAAUACAAACAAAAAGUAUGAACUAUAUCUUUGACAAAUUUCAAAAAUGGUGCAGCGGGUAUGGUUUUAUUUCGUUGCCGGCAAAAAAAGCAUGUGUAUGUGUUUUUCUUAAGUGAAUGAGUGGACAAACAAUUUUCGAGUGCGGUUGUAGACGCGUAUUUCUACAACAUAAGUUGGAAGCAUGAUUUCUUUUUAGAGCAAAAUCCUUGUAAGAACAAGCUUGUAAUAUUAACAUUUGAAGGAUGCAAGCGAAUUUUGGCCAAGCCAGUCACAAAGAAAGAACCAUUAACUGUGGAUAUGUUAAAUAAUAUCAUUGAUUUCACUGUAAGGACGGUCAGAAAUUAAGUGUGAAAAAUAUGAGAUUAUGUUUGAUGUGUAUUCUUGGGUAUUCGUUUUUUUUUCAGAUUUGAUGAGUUGUCUAGUUUAAAAAUGAAACUUCUUUUUAGGAUUCUCAUAUUUCUAUAUUUUUUAUAGAACAUAGCAACUGGGAUCAGUUAAAAUCUGGUAAUAGUGUUAUUGUGCCAAAAACAGUUAAUAGGCUAUGUCCGGUAUGUUGGUUAAAGAUAUAUCGCUGCGGGUCUCACAUUAUUUCGAACUAAUAUUUUUUUUACAAAAGUUAGAUUUUUUUUAAAUAAAGGAAAUUAUGUUUUGUGCGACACAGAUUCUACUUUAUCACAUACCAGGGCAAGGGAGAUAUUUUAGAAUCAAUUCAUAGCAUAGGGGAGCUUCCGCUGCUGCUAAAAGCGGAAAAAUCACAGAUGAUAAAUUGUUAGCCAAGCACGGUCGUUGGAAAUCGGAAGCUUGGUUGAUGGAUGGUUUCAUUUCAGUAUAGAAAAUAAAUUGUUUAAAUGUACAUUUUUCAUAUAGAAUGUUGCUGUUGUAUUGGUGUGUUAAUGACAUUGUAUUGUUUCUUGUCUACUAGUAUGGAUGAGGCCGAACGCUCGGCAACAUGACAUUUUGACAAACGGGCACAGGUUUCCAGAGCCUUUUCCUUAGACAUUAGAAAAGGGUUUUUAUCUCUGGUUUUUCCUGGGCGAGUCAUGUUGCAUUUUAUACACAUCCUAGUUUAAUAAAUAAUGUGUACUAGUAUUUUGGAGUUUUUGUAGAGUUUAUGCUUUGUUUGUGUGAAAAUAAUAUGUUUUACAAUCUUAAAAUGAUAUUUUGUUCCUGGGUUUUGAAUAGGCAAUAACUAUGAUCUGUUAAUGUACUUGUCUACUUACAUUAAUCCUGUUGGUAAAACGGCUACAAUAAAAGCGGACCGCCUUCUA